rnacentral:rRNA from 1 species
AGCGAACGCUGGCGGUAGGCUUAACACAUGCAAGUCGAACGGGCUUCUUCGGAAGUCAGUGGCAGACGGGUGAGUAACACGUGGGAACGUGCCCUUCGGUUCGGAAUAACUCAGGGAAACUUGAGCUAAUACCGGAUACGCCCUUUUGGGGAAAGGUUUACUGCCGAAGGAUCGGCCCGCGUCUGAUUAGCUUGUUGGUGGGGUAACGGCCUACCAAGGCGACGAUCAGUAGCUGGUCUGAGAGGAUGAUCAGCCACACUGGGACUGAGACACGGCCCAGACUCCUACGGGAGGCAGCAGUGGGGAAUAUUGGACAAUGGGCGCAAGCCUGAUCCAGCCAUGCCGCGUGAGUGAUGAGGGCCUUAGGGUUGUAAAGCUCUUUUGUCCGGGACGAUAAUGACGGUACCGGAAGAAUAAGCCCCGGCUAACUUCGUG